GAUGUUUUUGGUCAACUCCAAUUACAAGUCUGCAAGGAAAGACACUUUGUGGAAGAAUUUCAUAGCCUUAGGCAGCAAUUGAGCCGCUGUGUAAGUAUGCACAGCAAACACAGUGAGUUUGAUCCUAGAAACCUACCUAGAAAACAGCAUGUAGGGAGCUGUCUCCACAGCAAGGGUGAGUAAAAGGGGCUUUCUAAUUGGUGGCUUGUGGUCCAAGUGGAGAGUUUAUCAUCAGUGAACCAGCACUGAAUAACCACGAGUAACUCAAAAUGCCAAUACUUAUUGUUUCUGUUUUUAAUAUUUAUUAUUCUUAAGGAGUGGCACAUACGACAUCUUGGAGAUCUAAAAUACCACGGAAUGAUCCUCAAUAUUUGUUUAUUUAUUUGUUUGUUUGUUUACUUAUUGUUUGCUCUGUAUAUGAGUCCCAAGUGAUUCAUUCACUUAUUUAAUAAAUAUUUCUUAAGCACCAACAUGUGCCACAUACUAUUCUAGGCUGUUAUUUCCUUCUUUUCUUUCUUUCUUUCUUUCUUUCUUUCUUUCUUUCUUUCUUUCCUUGCCAUAUUGAUGAGAGCUUUUAGAUUGCUUUUUUCUUAUUUACCUAAUUUUUUUUAUAGCUAUACCCUUUUUAAGGCACUGUCUCAGUCCAAACUUUAUAAAAACAGGGGUAUGUCUUCUUUGGCCCUUAAGUUAUUUGAUGCUGCAGUAUGGCUACUGUCACCACAAGCAAUGGGGAAUUAAUUAAGAAGGUUAAAGUGACCACAUUUCUCUAUAAACAUUCACGGUAAGAAAGACGGGUGCAGAACAAUGAAACAAAAUAAAGCAAAACAAUUAAGCUGGGAUCAGUGCAAUAUUAGUCGACUUGCCUCUGUGGGGGAUGGUAAAUCUUUUCUAUGAUCCUGUUUGGGUUCCAAGCAUGCUUUCUCAGCCUCUUGUGAUUGUACUUUGCAGGCAGUGUGAAGGGGGAGUAGUGAUGAUUAUUGCAGUCCUUGGAUUGCUAGAUGGAAACGAGUUCUGUACUCUUGGGCAUUAUGGUCACUGAGACUUCAAUUCCGGGCAGUUGCAGGUGGAGUUUUACUUAAGAGUUAAGAUGUGUUUUCCUUGGGGUCUGUCAAAGUGUUCAGGAUCUCAAAUUGCAGACCACAGUACAGAGGCAUUAUAUGUGGGUGACGUGGUCGGUAGGUAAAAAAUUCCACUGAAUUUAUCUUCUCUUUUUCUUUGGUUAGUUUGUGUUUAAGUUAUGUCCUUGUUUGAAGCUUGGGUUGCAUGGUGUCUUAUAAACUCUCCGAUCCCAUUCAUGUAUCUGCAACGAUAAAAAUUACAACCUGGCGCCUCCUUGUAGAAGAGAGAGAAUGCCCUGGGCCAAUUCCCUUGCCUAAACUAAUGGAAAGAUCCUCACUUCUCCUUGGCUUUUUUUAUACUUUACCUUUGAGGUCAUCUUGUUAAGAUAGUGAAUAAUAUAAAUAGCCUCUUAAAUUUAAGUUGAAUUAUUAUGUAGUUUUAUAUUUCAUUCCCCCUCCCGCCAGCCUAUUAGGUUAUAAGUAAGAGCUUUUUCGCCGCUAAAAGAUUUGAGGAGGAGGAGACUACCUCUUGAAGGACUUGAUAUAGGGGAAAUAAUGAGACCUAAGGCAGCCACUGUAGGCUGGGGUGGAGUUCAAACGAACAAUCGAGCUGCUUCCAUUUCGGUGUCUGGAGACCAGGAUCCUCUUCAGCCUGUUUUGUUUUGUUUUCUUUUCUUUUCUUUUAAAUGCAUCCUGUUUCUCUUCCCUUUUUGUUUUAACCCCGAUUCCUCGGUGUAGGUGCUAUUCAUUGCAUUGGUCAGUCGAUUUCAUAUCAUGUUAUUUCAAAUGAAGUUGUUAAUGGUGGUGAGGCACUAGAAUAAAUCCUUGCCUGAUACUGUAGAGUGUAUCUAGACGCCUGGAGCCCCAAAAGGUGUGUCUAUUUUCCCAUCAGUUGGGUUUCCUCGGCUCAAAUAGCUAGAGAACUCAAUGAUAGCUAUAACCAAGACCAUGAAACGUUCUAGAUGAAAAAUACAAUUAUCUGGGAACUCUGGUUUGCCUGGAUUUAUUUCUGGAGAAGUUUUUUUUUCCCUAAAGAGACCUGUCAAAAAAGGUACUUCUGCCAACAGAGAUGUUUCUUUCAGGGACUUGGGUCACACGGCCUGCGGGAGCAGUGGGGUACCUCCCGCGAGGGCUGUGACUGCGUACCAAAGUGGCUGGCUCCCCCUUGUGGCCAAAUACGAGCACACACGUCCACUCAACCUCCCUGAGCGCCACCUAAUUCUGGGCUUUCCUUCUUACUUUCUCGCACCUGAAGUCAAGCGCUGCUAGCCCCAGUUAAUUUGUCUCACAGACUUUGGAGUUUAUGCUGAGAGGUAUACCAACCACCUCUGCGAAACUGAAAAAGAAAAUCAGAGGAUUAGCCUGAGUUUGGAAAGCCUUCGCAGACAUUGUGUCGGGGAAAUAGGUGCUUGCAUCUGGCUUAAUCUUUUGGCCAAUGAUAAUUUUGUAUUUUUGGUAAAAGAAGCUGGUAUCUGUUUAAUAUAAAUUUACUGAGCAUCUGCUCUAGUCAGUGAAUGAUUUCUUCUUAUGAAUAUAGAACUUUCCUGCAAAUGGUGUUGUAAAGACAAAUGAAAACCCAAUCAACUGGAACUAAAUGGUUAAAAGAAACAAGUCAGUUUUGUAAACUGAAUUUUUGCAAAUUGGCUUACAGCAGGUGGCCUACUUCUGUAUUUUCCAGGUUCUGUCCUGGGUGAGAAAGACCAGUCUGAUCAAGUCCCCAGUCUCUGGUGCUUGUACUCUUCUUACCGGCAGAGAGAUGUAAACAAAGAAGGCCAGUGAAUCAUGAAAUGUGACAUGUGUGAUGCUGAGUUUUCUGUGUGACCCGGUCACUGUGGAAGCACAAAGGGGGAGGUAGUUAAUUCUGUCCACCUUGAGGUUUGGAGAGCAUGUAUUAUUGAAGGAGGUGACGACUGCAUUCGGUUUCCUGGGGAAUGAGGGAGCAGGAAUGGCGGGGGGAGAAGCUUGAAUAAAGCUUGAUGGUGUGAAAUGACAUAUCAUAUUCAGGAAACAGCAAGUAACUGAGUAUGAAUGUAGAAUGGCUUGGGGAAUGUCUAGAGGAGGCUGGUUGUUUAGAUUUUAGCCAGGAGAUGCUAAUAAAGGGCUGGCUAAGAGAGGCAUGAUAACACCGGCUGAGGAUAAGGAUUGUCCUGAAGAAAAAUGUAAAGCCAUCGAAGGGCAGGGCAGGAUCACAUACUCUUAUGUUUCAGAGAAAGCUCUUUGGUGAAGGUAGAGGGAUGUAGGUGGGGGGGGUGAGGCUCUAGGGAGAAAAAAGUAUAUAAAAAGCAUUGCAAUAAUGUGGCUGGAGUGAACACACUCGGGUCAUAGGGAAGGGCGAGGAGAGUCUGAGGAAGAGAGGAGAGUCUGGGAUGAGCCUAAGGUUCUUACUUGGGGGGCUGAGUGGGAGGGGGUGUCAUUCAUUAAACAUAGAAGGAGAAAGCUUGGAGUAAGGUAAAUGAGUUGCUGUCAGACCUGCUAGAAGUUUCAGGAGUCCCACACGUCAGAGUAAUCAUAAGAGUAGUAUGUAAGCUUUCCAUAUAUAUUUUGGGUAUGUUUAAUAUUUAUGACGUAUUUAUUAACAGAUUUAUUGAGAUAUAAUCAACACACGAUUAACUGAACAUAGUUCAAGUGUGUAAUUUGGUAGUUUUGACAUGCGUAUACCCUUGUGAAGCCAUCGCCACAAUUAAGAUAAUAGACAUAUCCAUCACCCCCAAAAGUUUCUUGGUGCCCCUUUGUGAUCUGUCUCCGUCCCCAGGGAAUCACUGAUCUGCCUUUUGUCACUGUAGAUUUUUUUGCAUUUCCUAGAAUUUAAUGUAAAUGGCCCAUAUGUUACACUCUUUUAUGUCUGACUUUUUCCACCCAGCAUAAUUAUUUUGAGAUUCACUCGUGUUACUGAGUGUAUUGGUCAUUUAUUCCUUUUUUAUUGCCAUGUAGUAUUCUAUGAUAAUGAUGUAGUACAAUUUGUUUGUUUGUUUGCCUACUGAUGGUUUUUUUCCCCCCAGCUUUCAGCUAUCACAAGUAAAGCUGCUAUGAAUAUUUGUAUGCAAGCCUUUGGACAGGUAUUUUCAUUUCUCUUGGGUGAAUACCUAGGAGUGGCAUAGUUGGAUCAUAAGUUAGGUGGAUGUUUUGUAAGAGAUGGCCAAACUGUUUUCCAAAGUGACUAUCCUAUUUUAAGUUCUCACCAGUAGUGUGCGAGAGGUCACUACUCACGAUCCUUGCUAUCGCUUAGUAUGGUCAAUGUUUACACAUGCCAGCCAGUGUAGUUGUGGUAUCACAUUGUGUUUUCCAUUUGCAUUUCCCCAGUCAUUAAUGAUGUCGAGUAUCUCUUGACUUGCCUAUUUAUCAUCAAUAUAUUUUUGGUGAAGUGUCUGUUUGGAUAUUUUGCCCAUUAGAAAAAAGAGGUUGGUUAUUUUCUCACUGGGUUUUGCGUAUGUUUGUUUUCAAGUAUAUUCUGCAUGCAAAUCUUUUAUCAGAUAUAUAAUUUGCAUAUAUUUUUCUCUUGGUCUGUGACAUCUUUUCAUUAUCUUAACAGUGUCUUUUGAAGAGAAGACGUUUUACAUUUUGAUGGUGUCUAACUUAUCAAUUUUUUUCUUCAAUGAAUCAUGCCUUUUGUGCCACAUUUAAGAAAUCUUUAUUUAACACAAGGUCACAAAGAACUUUUACUGUUUUCAUUUACAAUUUUUUCUACUUUUAGGUUUCACAUGUAGGUCAAUGCCUUUUCACCUGUUGAGAUGACCAUGUGAAUUUUAUUUUUUAGACGAUUGAUACCAAUUACAUUGGUUUUCAAAGUUAUGCCAACUUUGCAUUUCCGGGAUCUACUCUAUUUGGUAAUAAUGCUUUGUCCCUAUCAUGUAUUGUUAGGUCCAACUUGCUAAAAUUUUAUUAAUAAGUUUUGUAUCUAUGUUUAUGAGGGACAUUUGUAUCCUUUAAUAUCUUUGUCUCAUUUUUGGAAUUAGUAUAAUGCUGAUCUCAUUCAGUAAGUUGGAAAGUAUUCUCCCCUCUUUCAUUUUCUGGAAGGGCUUGCAUAGAAUUGAUCCUUUGAAGCCAUUUUUUGAAGCCAAUGGUCCAGUGAAGCCAUUUUUGCCUAGAGUUUUGUGCAUGGGAAGAUUUUAAACUAAGUAUUUUAGUUUUUAAUAGCUGCAUGGCUAUUGAUGUUCUUAAUUUCUCCUUGAGUGAGCUUUGAUAAUUUGUGUUUUUCAAUUUUAUUAUUCAUUUCAUCAAAUCUACCAAGUUUUAGCCACAAAAUUGUUCAUGUUAUUUCCUUAGUAUCCUUUAAAAAUUUUUUUUUCAAUUUAAUGUUUAUUUAUUUUGAAAGAGAGAGAGACAGACAGAGUGUGAGCAGGGGAGGGGCAGAGAGAGAAGGAGACACAGAAUCUGAAGCAGGCUUCAGGCUCUGAGCUGUCAGCACAGAGCCCGAGAGGAGGCUCAAACUCAAGAGCUGUGAGAUCAUGACGUGAGCGGAAGUCGGACGCUUAAUCGACUGAACCACCCAGGCAACCCAUGUUAAUAUCCUUUUGAUGUUUGUAAUAGUAUGGGAUGAUGUCAUUUCUGUCAUUGUGGAUAUUGGUAUUUUUUGUCUUCACCCUUUUUUCCCCUGAAAUUUUAUCGAAAUUCAUCAAUUUUAUUGACUUCUCAAAGAAUCAGUUUUUAGUUUGAUUUCCUCUAUUGAUUUUCAGUUUUGAUUUCACUGAUUUUCAUUCUGAGUUUUAUUGUUCCUUUCUUCUGUUACAUUCGAGUUUACUCUUUUUUUUUUUCUGGUUUCUUAAGUUGAAAGAUUGGGUCACUAAUUUGAGAUCUUUCAGUGUUUUCUUAAGGUGAAAGCUGAAGUUAUUAGUUUGAGGUUUUUUUAAUCUUUUCAGUAUAGGAAUUCAGUGUUUUGAAUUUCCCUUUUGGUACAAAGUACUUUAGCUACAUCCCACAAUCUUUGAUAUGUUGUGCUAUUUUCAUUUACCUUGAAAUACUUUCUAGUUUCCUUUUUGAUUUCUUCUUAGAUCCAUUUGUUAUUUGGAAGGGAAUCCUUUAGUUUCUGUAUAUUUGGGGAUUUUUCCAGAUGCCUUUUUGAUUUUGAUUCCUAAUUUGAUUUCAUUUUCGUCAAAGAGCAUCCUUUAUGUGACUCAAAUCCUUUUAUAUUUGUUGAGCCAUGUUUUAUGGCCCAGAAUUUGGUUAAUUUUGAUAAACGUUGUAUGUGUAUUUGAAAAGAAUUGAUAUCUUGCUGUUGGGUGGGGUGUUCUAUAAAUAUCACUUAGAUCUAGUUGUUACUAUUUUCCAAUUUUUCUAUAUCUUUACUGAUUUUUUUUUUUUACUUAUUUUAUCAAUUGUGGACAUCUCUGGCAUUAAUUGUGAAUUUUUCUAUUUCUCUAUCAGUAUUCAUGGUAGAAGCUCAUGUAUUUUGAAGUUCUGCUAUCAGAAACCAAAAUGCUCACUGAUGCCCGGGACAUGCUUCAUUAUGUUGUUAAACCAGAGGCCCUGUGAACCCCAAAGCUGUAAGCUGGUGCUUGCGUUGUGUUCAUUGAUCCCUUCACUCAACAGACAUUUAGUGAGCAUCUAAUACUUGCUGAACACUAUUCCACAUGCUGGAACAACCAAAAUUGACAUAUAAUAUCUCUGUCCUUUUAAAACUCCUUGAAAACGCUGCCAGCCAGUUUCAGCGGGUCUCAGCUCGGGCUGGGUGCUGUGCAGGGAGCUGGCGGCAGGGGGCGCUGCGGCGGGGCUGGAAGCUGGGGGCCAGACAGCAGCUCGUUGAAUCUGGGCGUUUUAGCUGAGACCUGAAGGGUGUCCAGAUCAUCUCUGCGCUCUUCAGUCUGGAGCACUGAGCUUCCUCUGCCCGCCUGGCCCUUCUCCCUGCCUCUGCGCUCCACCACACUCACCCUUCAAGGUGCAGCUAACCGGAGUUUUUCUUCUGGAAGUCUUAUGGAAUCCCGCAGUCAGGCUGCCUCUACUGCUUAGAGCAAUUGUAUUUUUUUUUUAAAUCACAGUAUUUAUCACACAGUGUUGUAAUUUUGCGUCACCAUUUGUCUGAGCAGACUGUGAGCCAUCGCUUGUGUGCCAAGGCCAUUUUUCAUCUUGCAGGCUACUUUUAUUUUGUUUUGUUUUAUUUUAUUUUACUGUAUUUUAUUUUUAAAAGUGUAUUUAUUUAUUUUGAGAGAAAGAGAGCGUGCGUGCAUGCAAGCAGGGGGAGGGGCAGAGAGAGAGAGGAGAGAGAACGUUCCUUUAAAAAAAAACUUUUUAAAUCAAAAAAUUGUUUUAUUCUCAAGUUAGUUAACAUACAGUGUAGUCUUGGCUUCACGAACAGAACCCAGUGAUUCAUCUCUUACAUAUGGUACCCAGUGCUUUUCCGGAAAAGUGCCCUCCUUAAUGCCCGUCACCCAUUUAAUACGCCCCUGCAACGCCCAUGAACUCUCAGUUUGUUCUCUGUAUUUAACAGUGUCCUGUGGUUUGUCUCUCUCUCUCUGUUUUUAUCUUCUUUUUCCUUCCCUUCCCCUAUGUUCAUCUGUGAGUUUCUCAAAUUCCACGUAUGAGUGAAAUCAUAUGAAAUCUGUCUCUCUCUGACUGACUUAUUUCAAGAGAGAACAUCCUAAGCAGGCUCUGUUGUCAGCACAGAGCCCGAGGAGGGGCUCAGUCUCACGAACGAAACCGUGAGAUCAUGACCUGGGCUGAACGCAAGAGUUGGACACAACCAUCUGAGUCACUCAGGUGCCCCUAUCUUGCAGGAUACUUUUUUAAAAAACUUCUUUGUUUGUUUGUUUAUUUACUUUGAGAGAGAGCAAGCAGGGGAGAGGCAGAGAGAGAGAGAGAGAGAGAGAGAGAGAGAGAAUUCCAGGCAGGCUCCAUGCUGUCAGCACAGAGCCUGAGGUAAGACUCGAACCCACAAACCAUAAGAUCAUGACCUGAGCUGAAACCAAGAGUCAGACACUCAACCUACUGAGCCACCCAGGUGCCCCUGGCAGGCUACUUUUAAAAAUUAAAUUAAUCAAUGUGAUAUGGGUGGAGGCACUAUUGUAUGCUUAGUGUAUAAUAACUAUGCAAUAAAAAUGUAUUAACUUAAUGAUGCAUGACUAGGCUGUUGCCUUCUGACAUCUCAUGCUUUUCUUUGAGCCCUAGUUAUUCUAGCUCUACUAACAAAUGGCCUCCAGUCUAGAUCACAUCUGCUUUGGUUGAGUUUGUCAAGUCAUGCAUCCGUUCCUACAGUAAUGUCGCUGACCCUUUGUUGUGCAUUGUUUUCAGCAAAUGCAACUCUACACGGAAAUAUAAGGGAGAGGAAAUCACUGCAUUAGAAAUUUCUCUAAUUUCAUAUUAGAUGGCAAAGCCAUCUGACUUGUGACAGUAAAACCUGGCUGCUCUGCUGGGUCUGUAGACAUGUUGACAACAGUGAGGAAAACGAGAACCUACUGCAUCAGAUCUUUACUAGGAGGCCACGUAUAGUGAAUGGAUCUCAAGGCACCAGAAAGCAUCCCAUAAACCAGCACGCUCCUGUGGCAACAUUGGCACUAUUAAGUGUUUCUUGCUAUUGCUGUUGGUGGUGGAGGUGGUUCUUGUUGUUGUUUGCCAAACCUUAUUUUUCUCCUUUUUUACUCUCCUCGCCCUUCUUAGGUGGAGUGAAGGCAGAAGUCCUUCUUGUCCUUCCCACCCUGCUCUGGGAUGUGCUGCGGGCUGGAGUUUUCUGGGCAGAGACACAGUCAGAAGGAAUGCCUUAAUGAUAUUUAACUUCCGUAAGGUCCAGAAUUUGGUUGGUUUUUUUCGCUUCCCACUUUUGGUGUUAAAUCUUUACAUCCUAGCACAGGCAUACUGGAUAUUGUGCCGUGUAACUUGGUUCUGUACUUUGUGGUCGAUCCUUGCACCUAAGAACUUCGCUACAGUGCCUUGGAUUUAGGCAAAUGUUGAUUCUCUUACGAAGUUCUCUUUCAUCCCAUUGCAAGAUUUGGACCAACUACUUUUCUAUUAGAUAAUUUCAGGUCAGAAAGAAUCAGCAUCUAAUCAAACUGUCUAAUGGGCAGACCUGUCUAAAUUUCUUUCCAUAGCUACUCUCUUGGCUGGACCUAGACUUGGUUAUUUCUCGAAUUUGCUCUUGUAGUUCCAGUCUGAAAAACAAAAUGAACAAAGAAACACACACACACAUACACACACGCACGCACACACACACACACACCCCACAGUAUUUCUUCUGCUUAUUAUCACAUCGUCCAUUUUCACGUAGAAAUCUUCUCUGUCUCUGUCUCUGCUGAUCAGCUUCGUCCUCUAAAGCCAUUUCCAGCAUUUCCCUUCUAUAAUGCAGAACCGAGAUCUUUGAACUAAUCUCUCUUUGGAACUGGAUUUUGAAGGUUUUCAACAGGAGCUUGGCUGAAUUGGAAUAUCUCUUCCAAGUUAUGCUGAUUUUUUUUUUUUUUUGGUAUAAUAGAGUGGUUUCAAAUACAGACUCUGGAGUCAGAAUAUUUGGGUUUGGAUCUCAGUUCUUCCACUUACUGUGUGAACACAAGCAUAAUAUUGACUUCUGUGCUUCAGCUUAUGAAUCUGUAAAAUGAGGAUAACAAUAGCACCUACCUCACACGGUUAUUGUGAGGACCGAAUGCGGUAAUAUAAUCAAAGCCUUCGGAUUAGUGCCUGAUACAUAAUACUAACAUAAUACCUGUUGACUGUUAUUAUUUUUACCUCGCAAUCUUCUCAGUAUUUCUGUCUUCGGUUGCAGGGGGAUUGAGAUAAAGUAGAGAGCUCCUGGAGCUGCUGAAUUUUUACCUAAUAAUAUUGAUCUGGUGUUUUUUGUUUUUGUUUUUAAUUUCCUGUCCGCAGUUCUUUAUUUACUCUUUUGGUUCAUCAUUAUGUCUUCAGUGUCCAGCACUGAAGUCGGACACAUAGUGAGCGCUUCAUCAUUUGCAUAAUGAAUGAAUGGAUUCUUUCUGACUGUACUCUCUGAGAUGGCCUACCACUGUUCAGGAUCUGUCACACAUUGUUUUGGCCUCACUGGAUCUGGUCUGGGUUGAAAUGUCCUCUUCUUCUAAAUAUUUAUUUAGAGAGAGAGAGAGAGGGAGAGAGAAAUCCCAAGCAGGCUCUGUCAAGGAGCCUGACGCAGGGCUCGAACUCACAAACCGUGAGAUCACGACCUGAGCCGAAACCAAGAAUCAGAUGUUCAACUGACUGAGCCACCCAGAUGCCCCUGAAAUGUCCUCUUCUUAAUUCAGGGUUCUUACCACAGGAAAAUCCAAUGUCGUGGUGUGAGUCCUGUAAACUAUACCUUAACCUGAACAUUCUGUGUCUGCAAGCUCUUCUGUGCCUAAUCGGGGAGGCCCCUUGCACAAGAGGGGUCUCUUCCUUCUACACAGUGUAUACCUGAAAGUACAGUCCCCACUUGGGCAGUCAUGACACCAUCACCACCAUUAGGCCCUGUAACAGCAUUCAGGAUAUAACUGUCAAAUCAUUUCAGCUAUUUUUGCUUGGUAAGAAAAGGAGCCUGAAUGCUGCCCAUUGUCCCCACUUUUCUCUUUGUGUUCUGGCCUAAAGGGACCUGCUGAUUGACAUUGGCCAUGUCUUAUUGGUUUCAAAAGUGCUGUCUUUUAGCUGUUUCCAUUCAUGAGUUUUCUUUUUUUUUAAGUUUUUAUUUAUUUUUGACAGAGAGAGCGAGCGCAAGCUGGGGAGGGGCAGAAGGAGAGGAAGACACAGAAUCUGAAGGAGGCUCCAGGCUGUCAGCACACAGCCCGAUGCGGGGCUCAAACUCACAAACCAUGAGAUCGUGACCUGAGUCAAAGUCGGAUGCUUAACCAACUGAGCCACCCAGGAGCCCCUCCAUUUCAUGAGUUUUAACUGUUACCAUUACUGAUGUGCCCAGCACGAUUUUAUCACUAGGACAGGACCUUUGGCAAGCAACUUAACCAUUUGGGACUUGGCUUUCUUUUCUGUAAAUCGAGAAGAAUUGGCCUAUACCACCUCCUUGGUCUGUUCUAGCACUGAGUUUCCACAAGUAAAAACUAAAGUCAUGGGCAAGCAAAAGACAAUGUUAAUGACCUCCUACUUGACUACUAAGUGAUUUCUGUGCUCAGAAAGGGUUUGAAAAUUCACCUCCUCAAAGGAGAUUGGCAGUUUCUCCUAGCCUGGUUACAAGCCAUCUUCUCAAAACAUUGAACGCUCCUUCUCCUGCUUUAGAAACUAAUAUUUCCUGAUGUUUUCUCCUGGCAGUUAGUGCCUGAAUACCGUACUGUGCGAUGUACAUAGUGGACAGGAUGAUUUUCCAAAAAGGGAAUUUGUUCUUGUAAGUUCCCACAUCUCCCAUGUUUCCUUUGUCUCUCUGAUUGGAUUGCUCUAGUCUUGUUGUCUUCCUGCCUCUGGGCCUUUACACACCCUCCCCUGUGCCUGAAUUAUUCUCUCCUGUGCAUCUUCCCCAAAUGCCCUUUAUCCUUUCUUCAUGCUCCCAUACUACUGGUUCCUUCUCAUUUUUCAGAUUUUAAUUUAAACAUCAUUCUUCAAAAGAGCCUUCCCUGACCAUCCAGUUGAAAGUAGGCCAUUCCUGUAAAUUCUUAUCAUAGAGUCCCCGGCAUUACAAACACAGAUUUACUUGUACCUUGUAUUUUGUAACUUAAUGUUAGUUUCUUUAUUUAUCAUCUGCGUCUCCUAUGGAACUGUAAGCUCUGUGAUGACAGAGACCAACUAUUAUUUAUUUGCCAGUGCACAUCUAUGCCCAGAACAUUAUACCUGCUCAAUAAAUGUUUAUUGAAUGGGUAGAAAAGUAUUAUUACAGCCUCUUCAAUAAUAUAACCUGUAUUUUCUGUUGAUUUAUUAGAUUUCAUGUGCUUCAUCAGCAAGAGAGAUGAAAACGAUUACCAGGAUGAAAAGAACAUUUUAUGGGAUUGGAAACAAAGGAAUCUACAAAGCUGUCAGUGA